CGUGCUCCAGCCGCCAGAGACCAGCGCCGAGCCGCCUCCUCUUUGCGCCCCCCUCUGCCCUGUGGACCAGGCGCCAGCGCUGCUCUCUCCUCCUGCUCUAUCUCUAUCUAUUCUAUAUUGAGUUAUCCCCGACUCCGAUUUGUUGGAGCUUCGGCUGGAUUUCGUGGAUUUGGGGGGAUUCGAUUCUAUCUCGACGAGCCCUAUCCGCCGCUGCCACCGCCACCGCCACCGCGGCCUAUAUAAACCCGAGGAGGCCAGCCAGCUGGGGGAUCGGUCUAUUUCCUCUUCGGCCGAAGCCCUACGCUCGUGUUCUCCGCCAUCGGUGUGCCGCCGCCGCCUCGUCGUCGCCGUCCGCCCAUUUCGCCGGUGAUGAUGCCGAUGCCGAUGCCCGUAGGUCUUGCCGGCUUCUCCGCCCGCGAAGCUAUAUAGGGUUCAGGAGACUAUCUGUGAAGCGACCAUCAUAGGUACAACUUAAUCGGAGGUAGUAUGUGAAGAUAGACGUAAUUAACCAGAGCGCUUUGCGAAGCCUUGGGAACCAGAAGACAUGAUCGCCAUGUUAGAUGCGUGUGUCAUAUGUGUGCGUAUGCCACAUACGUGUUGUAAUUGGAAAACUUGUACAUUAUGAAUUCAAAUGAAUGAAUAAAGAUCAAUAUUUUCCUUUA